CUGCAGCUCAAGUGGUGACCACUAUUAUUGGGCCUAAAACGUUCGUAGCCGGUUUGGUAAGUGCCUGGGUAAAUCGUGUAGCUUAACUAUACGAAUUCCGGGUAGACUGCCAAACUUGAGACCGGGAGAAGCUAGAGGUACUCCUGGGGUAGAGGUGAAAUUCUGUAAUCCUGGGGGGACCACCAGUGGCGAAGGCGUCUAGCUAGAACGGGUCUGACGGUGAGGAACGAAGCCCUGGGGCGCAAACCGGAUUAGAUACCCGAGUAGUCC
rnacentral:rRNA from 1 species